rnacentral:rRNA from 1 species
ACGGGAGGCAGCAGUGGGGAAUUUUGGACAAUGGGCGCAAGCCUGAUCCAGCCAUGCCGCGUGUCUGAAGAAGGCCUUCGGGUUGUAAAGGACUUUUGUCCGGGAGCAAAUCCUAGUGGUUAAUAACCGCUGGGUCUGAGAGUACCGGAAGAAUAAGCACCGGCUAACUACGUGCCAGCAGCCGCGGUAAUACGUAGGGUGCAAGCGUUAAUCGGAAUUACUGGGCGUAAAGCGUGCGCAGGCGGUUGUGCAAGUCUGAUGUGAAAGCCCCGGGCUUAACCUGGGAACGGCAUUGGAGACUGCACGACUAGAGUGCGUCAGAGGGGGGUAGAAUUCCGCGUGUAGCAGUGAAAUGCGUAGAGAUGCGGAGGAAUACCGAUGGCGAAGGCAGCCCCCUGGGAUGACACUGACGCUCAUGCACGAAAGCGUGGGGAGCAAACAGGAUUAGAUACCC